GAUGAAGAACGCAUCGAAAUGCGAUACGUAAUGUGAAUUGCAGAAUUCAGUGAAUCAUCGAAUCUUUGAACGCAUAUUGCGCUCUCUGGUAUUCCGGAGAGCAUGCUUGUUUGAGUAUCAGUAAACACCUCAACUUCCAUAUCUUUUUUGAAAUGGGAGUUGGACUUGAGUGAUCCCAACGCUUUUCCUCACCGAAAAGUGGCGGGUUACUUGAAAUGCAGGUGCAGCUGGACUUUUCUCUGAGCUAUAAGCAUAUCUAUUUAGUCUGCCUAAAAAACAGAUUAUUACCUUUGCUGCAGCUAACAUAAAGGAGAUUAGUUCUUGUGCUGACUGAUGCAGGAUUCACAAAGACAGGCUUCGGCCGACUUUGUAAACUCGAUCUCAAAUCAAGUAAGACUACCCGCUGAACUUAAGCAUAUCAAUAAGCGGAGGA
rnacentral:misc_RNA from 1 species